UUUCUUUGGAGAGUUUGAUCCUGGCUCAGGACGAACGCUGGCGGCGUGCCUAAUACAUGCAAGUCGAGCGGACCAAAUCGGAGCUUGCUC
rnacentral:rRNA from 1 species